rnacentral:rRNA from 1 species
ACGGGGCCCGCACAAGCGGAGGAACAUGUUGGUUUAAUUCGAUGAUACGCGAGGUAACCUUACCUGGGCUUAAAUGAGGAGUGACAGCGUGGCGAAAGUUGGUUUUCUUCGGACACUCUUCAAGGUGCUGCAUGGUUGUCGUCAGCUCGUGCCGUGAGGUGUCGGGUUAAGUCCCAUAACGAGCGCAACCCUUACUGUUAGUUGCCAGCGGGUAAUGCCGGGAACUCUAGCGGGACUGCCACCGUAAGGUGAGAGGAAGGUGGGGAUGACGUCAAAUCAGCACGGCCCUUAUGUCCAGGGCUACACACGUGUUACAAUGGCCGGUACAAAGGGCAGCUACACCGCGAGGUGAUGCUAAUCUCGAAAGCCGGUCUCAGUUCGGAUCGAAGUCUGCAACCCGACUUCGUGAAGUUGGAUUCGCUAGUAAUCGCGCAUCAGCCAUGGCGCGGUGAAUACGUUCCCGGGCCUU